rnacentral:rRNA from 1 species
GACGAAGGGGGCUAGCGUUGUUCGGAAUUACUGGGCGUAAAGCGCGUGUAGGCGGUUGCCCAAGUCGGGUGUGAAAGCCUUGAGCUCAACUCAAGAAAUGCACUCGGUACUGGGUGACUAGAGGACCGGAGAGGAUAGUGGAAUUCCCAGUGUAGUGGUGAAAUACGUAGAGAUUGGGAAGAACACCAGUGGCGAAGGCGGCAUCCUGGACCAUAACUGACGCUGAGGCGCGAAAGCUAGGGGAGCAAACGGG